CCAAGGAGUCUAACAUGUUCGCAAGUCAUUGGGUUGUAAAACCCAAAGGCAUAAUGAAAGUGAAGAUCAGUUCUGCUUCUGCUGGUCGAGGUGGGAUCUCUCUUCAAGGGAGCGCACCACCGUCCCAUCGCAUUUGCUCGUCAAAGCGGUGGAGAAAGAGCGUACAUGUUGGGACCCGAAAGAUGGUGAACUAUGCCUGAGCAGGAUGAAGCCAGAGGAAACUCUGGUGGAGGUCCGUAGCGGUUCUGACGUGCAAAUCGAUCGUCAGACUUGGGUAUAGGGGCGAAAGACUAAUCGAACCAUCUAGUAGCUGGUUCCCUCCGAAGUUUCCCUCAGGAUAGCUGGCACUUUUACGCAGUUUUACCCGGUAAAGCGAAUGAUUAGAGGCCUUGGGGACGAAACGACCUCAACCUAUUCUCAAACUUUAAAUGGGUAAGAAGUCUCGCUUGCCUGACCGAAGCUCAGACAUUGAAUGCGAGUGCCAAGUGGGCCAUUUUU
rnacentral:rRNA from 1 species